rnacentral:misc_RNA from 1 species
CAGAGGGCAGGGUGCUGGCUAACGGCCAGUCGAGGCGACUCGCAGGAAAGUGCCACAGAAAACAAACCGCCCGUUCCGAAAGGGGCGGGUAAGGGUGAAACGGUGCGGUAAGAGCGCACCGCGUCCGGGGUGACUCGGACGGCACGGUAAACCCCACCUGGAGCAAGAGCCAAUAGGAGCGCGUCCCUCGCUGUCGGGGGGACAAGGAUGGCCCGUCCCAGGCGCUCGGGUUGCUCGCUGAUGAGGCUCCUGGGCAACCAGGACCCUAGAUGAAUGUUCGCCGCCCACUCCGAAAGGGGUGGGG